rnacentral:rRNA from 1 species
AUUUUGGACAAUGGGGGAAACCCUGACGCAGCAACGCCGCGUGAGUGAAGAAGGCCUUCGGGUCGUAAAACUCUGUCAUCAGGGAAGAAAAAAAUGACGGUACCUGAUGAGGAAGCCCCGGCUAACUACGUGCCAGCAGCCGCGGUAAUACGUAGGGGGCAAGCGUUGUCCGGAAUUACUGGGCGUAAAGGGUGCGUAGGCGGCCGAUUAAGUCAGAUGUGAAAUACCACGGCUCAACUGUGGGGGUGCAUUUGAAACUGGUUGGCUUGAGUGCAGGAGAGGAAAGUGGAAUUCCUAGUGUAGCGGUGAAAUGCGUAGAGAUUAGGAGGAACACCAGUGGCGAAGGCGACUUUCUGGACUGUAACUGACGCUGAGGCACGAAAGCGUGGGGAGCGAACAGG